AACCCCUCCCCUACCCCCUCGUCGCCUCCCUCACCUCACCCCUUGUCAGAGACCUCACCCAAACCCUAGCUAGCACCCUAAUUCUCCACCGCCAUCAAUGGUGGCACCUUCCUCCAAUCCAGACCAAAAUAACACCCUAGAAUCUCCUAUUCUUCCUCAUCUCGAAUCUGGCCAUAGGUUUCCUCAAACACACCUAGAACCCAUCGAAUCUUUCAUCAAAAAGUGACAAUAAAAACCUUAUUUCACCCAAUCGGCCCCAAAUUAACACCCUGGACCCGCCUUCCCUCCCUCAUCCAAAAUUGCCACUUGGUUUCCUUCGAAUACCGCCAAAACGUGUCAAAUUGUAAAAUUAGGGUUUUCGGACUCAAGCUUCUUCGUAGCCAUGCAAGCUUGGCCCUCUGAAAUUACCCGAGUUUAUGGGGACUGUUCGACCUCUAAAUGACACUACUCAUGCAUUCUUGUCAAGUGUAGGCGGGUUGCAUUAUUUUUGGGUCAUCUAAUGUGGUAAUUUCUUCUUUCUUUCUUGGUUCUUGUCGAAUCCAUGUUAUUCUCCCUCAUCUUUUUCUUUUUUUUUCUCUCUGAUUGAUUCAAAUGAGUUUCGGUUGGUUUUUUGUUGGUAAUAAUUUAUGUGCUUUUGUAGUUUUCUGAUUUGUGUUGGUCCGUUAAAGUUUGGGUAAUAAAAUUGAUUAGUAUAUUGAUUUCAUCCUUUGAUAGGAUGAUUAGUUUGAUUUAGUUAGGUCAUUUUGAUUCAAUAACUUGGUUAGUUCUCUGCAUAUGGGUGUUAAUCGGUUAAUAACUUGGUCAAGGUGUUGAUUGUGGAAAUCGUUGAAUAUCUGUGCUUUCCUGUUUGUUUUAAUACUUAGGGGCUUUUAGUUGGCUAUUACUGCUUGGGUUUGAUCCAUCUUUGAUCCGUUUGAAAUAGCCCAGUUCAAAUUCAGGUUUAAGCCAUUGGGAGUUUUGACCCACAUUCUAUCUUAGCUUAGGUAAAUAACAGGGCAUUGAAGGGUAGUUUAGGUAUUCGGAGGAUAGUGCGUCUUUCAUAACAAAAUAAGAAUCUUCUAGGGUGGGGUAAGAUUUGAAUUUCAGCCUUUUUGGGUAGUGGAACUUGGGGCACAAGUCAGAAAUCCAGGGAUACCUAAGCAAUAAUGAGAAUUCGAAAAGGACCUAAAAUCAAAAAUUAAAAUCUGAAGCUUUCCCUUUAUUUUGGCCUAUAUAAGGCAGCCUCUAGGCCUUACUCAACAGGUUUCAGCCUCCAAAUUCCCCCUAAAAAACCAUUGCUACAAAUUUUAGUUUCAAAUUUUGAAUUUCAAAUCCAAAUUCUAGAUCUAGUUCUUCCAAAAACCAAAAAAAAAUAAUAGAAAAAUUAUUGAAAUAAAAAAAUACUGUUCUAUUCAAUUUAUUAGGUUAAUUUCAAGUUUUAAUGGUUGAUUUGCAUUUCUUAGCUCAAUUUCUGGUAGUCGAAGUUCAGAAGAUUUCCUGGUUUGAUUUCGAGUGGAUUUGGGUUCAAUUAAGGCUAUUUUAGGCUGGUUUUAUUAGCUGUUCAGUUCUGAGUCUGUUUUGGGUUUCUUCAAGUUUAUUUGGUUUACUAUUGGUACUGUCCUUCUCUAAACUCAAAUCUGGAUCGUUGAUUCUGUUUAUGGGCUGUUUGGACCAUCUACCUGCUAUUGCUGACCUCUCUAUUCGCUUUUAUUAUUUCAUACUUUAGGUACACAUCCCAAAACUACCUUGAUGUAGCUGUUGAAACAGAAAUGAAAUUAGCAUGUUGAUAUUCCCUGCUUCAUGAUAUGUGCUCGUUUCAAUGAUAUAUGUCAAUAGUUAGAUAUAUGUUGGCUAAUGUGUGUUUGUCUGAUAUAGUGUAGGCUUGAUUUGUAAUAAUAUGAACUCUAAACUGUAUUCGACUGUUGAAUUUGAAUUUGAGUUUGUUCAUUCUAAAAUAGUAGCAUAGUUUGAUUCCCUAUGGUAAUUGCUUGCUAAAACUGGAAGUUGAAUACAAACAACAGUAUAUGGUGUCCUAUUCAUGAUUAAUCUGGGCCUGAUAAACAGGCUUCAGUAGUUUGGUCCUCGAAUCAAAGUAGGCGUUUCAGCUUGGGGACUCAAUAUAGUUGUUAGUUGUUAUGACAUUAAUCCCUUAAAGUCUAUAAGCAUUAUACAGAAUAAAAUUGGAUUGUUCCUACAUCUAUCAACAGCUUUGAUACUUAGUAAUUGCGUUUCAAUUGGUUAAAAGUUGGCGUUUGAAGCAUAAAAAUCUAACUGGAAAUUGUAAUACGUUCUAAUUUGGCAGUCCAAUGUUUCAUUCAAAGUCAGUAAUCACACCUUGCAUAAUCUAGUUUAUUGUGGAUAUCAAUAGGUCCUUGAGUUUAAAUUGUCACAAAAUCAGUGAUUUAAUGAACAAAUGAUCGCCUAAUAUCCCUCAUUUAUUAUCAUAUUGUUUCAAAUCAUGUGGAACAAUUCUUUAGACUUGUGUUGCUUUGUGUGUGUUAUUGAAAUUAGAACCCCAUUGGGAAUUAGACGUCAAACUGAGAUCUGAGGUCUCGAGACGGUUUGGGCCAAAUAGGUGUUGGGCCAAUCAUGAGCCCAUAACACAUGACCUGCCCGUUUACUAGUGCUGGGGCCCAAGUUUCGAGUAGUUCCCAUUAUAACGUUGCUUCAAAUUCCCAUUCCAUGGGCUGGCACUGAAGCCCACCUUGCUAAAGCCAAUUCCUGGCUGCUUCUACUAAUUUUUAUGUUAGCAACACCAUUUAACUAAGGCAUUUUCUUUAUUAUUAGAGGCGAUACAUGAUAGAAAAAUCAUAGUCCGUAAGUUUGUCUUUAAAAUAAAUAAGGUGCAUCGUGCCGAACAAAAUUGAUAAAUACGUGGCCCUAUUUAAUUAUGUCUUUAAAAUUCUUAGAAUUCGGGACGGGCCGUUUAGCGAAUUUUACAGCUUUCCCCGAAGAUAAUAACGCGUUAGUUGCUUUAGGCGCGUAUUUUAAUAAAAUUACCUUCUUAAAUUUGGGUGUGCAUUUAUGUGACCUAAAUCCAAAUUCAAACGAAGUCGAAAUGUGUCAAAAACUACGGGCGCAUUUAUGUGACGUGGUUCGAGAUAUGUUUUCAGGACGUUGCAAUUCUCUUUGAAAAUAAUAAAUGAAAGCGGUUCAAAGCUAAAAAAUAUAUAAGUUGAAACAUGUUUUAAAAUCAAAUAAUUAAGCAAAAUAUGACAGUUGAGCGACCGUGCUUGAACCACGGAAUCCGAUAAUGCCUAACACCUUCUUUCGGGUUAACAGAAUUUCUUACCCAGAUUUUUGGAUCGCGGACUGUUAAAGAGAGUUUAUAAUUUCCUCAAUUUGGGAUUCAACCGGUGACUUGGGAAAACAUAAAUCUCCCAAGUGGCGACUCUGAUUUAUUAAUAAACAAAUUCAGUUCCGAUUGUCCUUUAAUUGGAAAAACUCCUUUAUACUCCUUUCAGGGGUGUAGGUAAAAAGGAGGUGUGACAGAUAAGAUUGACUCCCCCAGGUCCCAGCAGCAGAGCAGCAUGUCAUAGGGAACACGUCUGAGGUUCCCCACUUAGGACCCCAUGCAGACAGACGGGCCAUAGGAAGUUUCUAUAUCCUUUUCCUUUUAUUUUUGGUGCUUAUUUUUCUUAGUUGGCAUUGAGGACAAUGUUAACUUUCAUUUGACGGGGUAGGCCCCACUUUUAUUGAUUUGGAUGAAUGUAUAUAUUCGACAGGUUUCAUAUUUCUUUCUUUUUAUCUUUGGUAUGUAUAUAAUUUUAUUAAUUAUAUUUUUUGCACUUUUCACUUUGGGUCUGUAUAUAAAAGUUAUGUUACAUUAUAUAUGUUCAUCCCCGUAUUGUAUAUUCGAUGAAUCCCCUCUUGUAUAUAUUCAUUCUAAUUUCCACAGUUUUCUUUUCCAUAGCUUCUUAUUUAUG
rnacentral:lncRNA from 1 species